UUUUCAGUUUAAAUCUUUUAACCAACAAACUUGAUAUUAAUGGUUCUUAGGCCUUUCAUUAGAUGGUGUUGAAGUUGUAACCAAAAGGGUGACGCUUACCAAUCAAGUGUCAAUCUUUUUCCUUUAUUUUAUGUGACUUAUAAGUUUCCAUGUUAUUAAUAAUAUUAAUUAUGUGUAAUUAUGAAUAAUAAUUAUGUGUCAGCCUGCCGACACUUGAACACUCGGCGGCUUCGUAAUUUAAAUUUACUGAUGAAUAAAGCUGAAGUGUAGUACCAAAGCUACAUGUUGUGUUUCUCUAUAGAUGUAGUGCUAAAUUAAGGUUCACCCACUGAUCAUCAUCAUCAUCAUCAACAAUCAACACUUGGAGGCGAUGGUUUUAAUAAUGUUGAACACUCUUAUUGUUACAAACCUGCUGUUAAACCAUUAAAAAGAUUAAUAAUCUUUGACCAACGAAAGUGAAUCUACAAUUGUCAUAGAUGAAGAUGAGAUUGAAAAAUGUUUACUAUUCAACAGUUACUCGAAUACACCCAACAAAGGCCGCUGUUAUAUAAUGGUCAAUGAACAUGUUGAGAUUCACCAGUCUUAAUCUAUGGUCUGCAGUUGAUUGGUAACUUAUAAAACAAAAGCCAGACUAAAGUUGGAAGAAACCUUUAGGAAUACUUCGUCAUGCCCUUAAACAAUAUCUUGUUUAACAAUCAAUUUACAAUUUAAAACCUAUUAACUUGAAACGAUGAAAACAUGAUAAAUUACUUCAAUACAUUAAUGGUAGAUUUAAACAUAAUAUACUGUACUUAUUUAGUUGAUGAUUUGAUAAAACAUACAAGAAUUGAUUCUCAUAAAAGAUUCAACUGAUAUUUCAAUCAACUAAUUGACUAAACCACAACAAUUUGGAUUGGACAAUUAAAUCCCAAAAAGGAUAAAAGAUGUCCAUAAAAAUUGAAAUAUAAUCUUGGCCAAUAUUCAAAUCAGCUGUAAACCGAGAAUCACUUUCACUGGAUUAACUAAGAAUUAAAUUUGCUGCUGAUUAAAAUAUUGUAUUAUAAUCAAUGAUUGUAAUUUGAUCUGAUAAUUUACAAGCCAGAAGAUGAUGUGAAAGAUGGACAACAAUGAAUUGGUUUCAAUUGGAAAAGGCAAAGGACACGGAAAACGCCUUAAGGUGAUAUUAUUUGCAGAUUUAUGUCCUUGAUAUUUCUUGGUGAUUAUAUUGAACAAUUUAACCACAGUUUAAUGAGAUUCAUAAUCUUAAAAAAUCAUUGAUAAAACCGUGAGAAACCAGAAGACAUUUUGCUUCACACCUUGAGUCUGGGUGUGACAAUCUUACAAGGUAAUAAUUAAGAUUUUCACCUUUACCAUCUUCAUCUUGAAUCUCAUCAUUAUCAUCAUCAUCAAUAUAAUCGAUUAGGUGUCCACUAAGGUGAUGAGAAAUGUAAAAAUAAGGUUAACUAAUGAUGAGCAAUCUUGAUUAACGCCAUUUCACAAUUGAAUAUUUAUGUUUGGCAAAGCAAUGUAACUCAGCGAAAAUUCAUCUGCUCAAUCAAUUUGUUGUUUGUUUAUUAUACUUGGAGUGUUAAUAAAUUCAAUUAACUCUCCUAAUACAACUGACAACACUUUUAAUUCAAUAAAAUCAUUUGCCGUAUUAGA